rnacentral:rRNA from 1 species
UACGGAGGGUGCAAGCGUUAUCCGGAUUCACUGGGUUUAAAGGGUGCGUAGGAGGGCAGGUAAGUCAGUGGUGAAAUCUCCAAGCUUAACUUGGAAACUGCCGUUGAUACUAUCUGUCUUGAAUACCGUGGAGGUGAGCGGAAUAUGUCAUGUAGCGGUGAAAUGCGUAGAUAUCUGGAGGAAUACCGGUGGCGAAGGCGGCAUCCUGGACCGGCAUUGACGCUGAGGAGCGAAAGCCAGGGGAGCAAACGGG